GAUGAACGCUGGCGGCGUGCCUAAUACAUGCAAGUCGAGCGAACGGACGAGAAGCUUGCUUCUCUGAUGUUAGCGGCGGACGGGUGAGUAAUACGUGGAUAACCUACCUAUAAGACUGGGAUAACUUCGGGAAACCGGGGCUAAUACCGGAUAAUAUUUUGAACCGCAUGGUUCAAAAGUGAAAGACGGUCUUGCUGUCACUUAUAGAUGGAUCCGCGCUGCAUUAGCUAGUUGGUAAGGUAACGGCUUACCAAGGCAACGAUGCAUAGCCCACCUAAGAGGGACAUCGCCCACACUGGAAGUGAGACACGGUCCAGACUCCUAGGGGAGGCAGCAGUAGGGAAUCUUACGCAAUGGGCGAAAGGCUAACGGAGCAACACCGCGUGAGUGAUGAAGCUCUUCGGCUCGGAGAACUCUGUUAUUAGGGAAGAACAUAUGUGUAAGUAACUGAGCACAUCAUGACGGUACCUGGUCAGAAAGCCACGGCUAACUACGUG
rnacentral:rRNA from 1 species